GCAGUCGAGCGGACAGAUGGGAGCUUGCUCCCUGAUGUUAGCGGCGGACGGGUGAGUAACACGUGGGUAACCUGCCUGUAAGACUGGGAUAACUCCGGGAAACCGGGGCUAAUACCGGAUGGUUGUUUGAACCGCAUGGUUCAGACAUAAAAGGUGGCUUCGGCUACCACUUACAGAUGGACCCGCGGCGCAUUAGCUAGUUGGUGAGGUAACGGCUCACCAAGGCGACGAUGCGUAGCCGACCUGAGAGGGUGAUCGGCCACACUGGGACUGAGACACGGCCCAGACUCCUACGGGAGGCAGCAGUAGGGAAUCUUCCGCAAUGGACGAAAGUCUGACGGAGCAACGCCGCGUGAGUGAUGAAGGUUUUCGGAUCGUAAAGCUCUGUUGUUAGGGAAGAACAAGUGCCGUUCAAAUAGGGCGGCACCUUGACGGUACCUAACCAGAAAGCCACGGCUAACUACGUGCCAGCAGCCGCGGUAAUACGUAGGUGGCAAGCGUUGUCCGGAAUUAUUGGGCGUAAAGGGCUCGCAGGCGGUUUCUUAAGUCUGAUGUGAAAGCCCCCGGCUCAACCGGGGAGGGUCAUUGGAAACUGGGGAACUUGAGUGCAGAAGAGGAGAGUGGAAUUCCACGUGUAGCGGUGAAAUGCGUAGAGAUGUGGAGGAACACCAGUGGCGAAGGCGACUCUCUGGUCUGUAACUGACGCUGAGGAGCGAAAGCGUGGGGAGCGAACAGGAUUAGAUACCCUGGUAGUCCACGCCGUAAACGAUGAGUGCUAAGUGUUAGGGGGUUUCCGCCCCUUA
rnacentral:rRNA from 1 species